rnacentral:rRNA from 1 species
CUACGAAGGGGGCGUAGCGUUGCUCGGAAUCACUGGGCGUGAAAGGGUGCGUAGGCGGGUUUUUAAGUCAGGGGUUGAAACCUGGAGCUCAAUCCAGACUGCCGUUUGAUACUGAAGAUCUUGAGUUCGGGAGAGGUGAGUGGAACUGCGAGUGUAGAGGUGAAAUUCGUGAGAUAGUUGCAAGAACACCAGUGGCGAAGGCGGACUCACUGGCCCGAUAC